GAUGAAGCGUUGAAUUGAAGCCCGAGUAAACGGCGGCCGUAACUAUAACGGUCCUAAGGUAGCGAAAUUCCUUGUCGGUUAAAUACCGACCUGCAUGAAUGGCGUAACGAGAUGGGAGCUGUCUCAACCAGAGAUUCAGUGAAAUUGUAGUGGAGGUGAAAAUUCCUCCUACCCGCGGCAAGACGGAAAGACCCCGUGGACCUUUACUACAACUUAGCACUGCUAACGGGAAUAUCAUGCGCAGGAUAGGUGGGAGGCUUUGAAGUAAGGGCUUUGGCUCUUAUGGAGA
rnacentral:rRNA from 1 species